UACAGAGGGUGCUAGCGUUAAUCGGAAUUACUGGGCGUAAAGCGUGUGUAGGUGGUUAGAUAAGUUAGAUGUGAAAUCCCCGGGCUUAACCUGGGAAUUGCGUUUAAGACUGUUUAGCUUGAGUACUGUAGAGGAUAGUGGAAUUUCCAGUGUAGCGGUGAAAUGCGUAGAUAUCUGGAGGAACACCGGUGGCGAAGGCGGCGUCCUGGACCAACACUGACACUGAUGAGCGAAAGCCAGGGGAGCAAACGGG
rnacentral:rRNA from 1 species